CUUAGAGUUUGAUCCUGGCUCAGGACGAACGCUGGCGGUGCGCUUAAUGCAUGCAAGUCGAACGGGCAAUGGGGCUUCGGCCCCGGCGCUAGUGGCAGACGGCUGAGUAACACGUAAGUGAUCUGCCCCGGAGAGGGGGAUAAUCCGGAGAAAUCCGGCCUAAUACCCCGUACGUUCAUAUGGUUACGGCUGUAUGAAGAAAGGUUUCGACCGCUCUGGGAGGAGCUUGCGGCCUAUCAGGUAGUUGGCGGGGUAAUGGCCCACCAAGCCUAAGACGGGUAACCGAUGUGAGAGCAUGAUCGGUCAGAGGGGGACUGAGACACGGCCCCCACUCCUACGGGAGGCAGCAGCAGGGAAUCUUGCGCAAUGGGCGAAAGCCUGACGCAGCGACACCGCGUGGAGGAAGAAGGCUUUCGGGUCGUAAACUCCUUUUCUCGGGGAAGAGAACGGACGGUACCCGAGGAAUAAGCAUCGGCUAACUACGUGCCAGCAGCCGCGGUAAUACGUAGGAUGCGAGCGUUGUCCGGAUUUACUGGGCGUAAAGGGCGAGUAGGCGGCCCGCUAAGUCUCAUGUGAAAUCUCCCGGCUCAACUGGGAGGGGUCAUGAGAAACUGGCAGGCUUGAGGUCAGCAGAGGAAAGCGGAAUUCCCGGAGUAGCGGUGAUAUGCGUAGAUACCGGGAGGAACACCAGAGGCGAAGGCGGCUUUCUGGGCUGCACCUGACGCUGAGGCGCGAAAGCGUGGGGAGCGAACCGGAUUAGAUACCCGGGU
rnacentral:rRNA from 1 species